rnacentral:rRNA from 1 species
UGGGGAAUAUUGGGCAAUGGGCGCAAGCCUGACCCAGCAACGCCGCGUGAAGGAAGAAGGCUUUCGGGUUGUAAACUUCUUUUCUCAGGGGACGAAGCAAGUGACGGUACCUGAGGAAUAAG